CCCAAACCUGACUCCAUGUGCCUUUAAAGGUAGCAAGCUCCCAUUUAGGAGCCACACACCCCUCUCCUUCCUCCCUCGACACCUCUGCAGCGAGCCCAAGAACCACAGGCCAGAAUGAAAGCCUGAACUCUUCGUUUUUCACGAUAGAAAAUUCUAUUACGAGCUCCAGGAGACAAGAGGAUCUGGCUGCAACCUCCUCUGCACAACAAGGCAUAGUGCAGUGCCUCGGGGCAAAUAACACUGAAGAGCCCUUACCAUCUGUGGGCUUCAAGGAGCAAGAAGAGAAAGCAGUGGCUGGGACCUGGCGAGGAUAACUCUAUGGAGAAGAUCCCCUGACAGGACCCGUGACUUUCACAGUAAACCCAUGGCAGCCAGCCAAGAAAGCCAAGGGACUAAAUAUUCUGACCCUGUGCUCCAUCCACCCUCCAAUCUCCUGCUGGAAAUUGUCCAGGCCCACUGGAAGCCAGCAGCCCUGGAGCCCAUGGGUGCCAUCCAUGCAGCUCAGCCUCCCAGGGUGCAGAGUAAUGGAGAGUAGGUCUGAUGAGAUGAAUGGAUGUCCAACAUACCCACCGCUUCCUAAAUACCAGGCUUAAAGUGCUUUAGUGCCUCUUAUGGCAUUUAAUAUAGUCUCAGUUACAUUUUAUUGUGCAAUAUCUUACCUCCUCAACUAGAUUAAUAACUCCUUGUAGAGAAAUAUGGUCUUUUUUGCAUGUGUGAUCAGAUUCUCAGAAAACAUUUGUUGUGAAUUUAUCCCUCAAAGGGACCUCCUCAAGUCAGCUGAUGCAGGUACAACGGGUCCACAGGAGAGGCCAGAGAAGAUGAAAUGUCUGGACAAGGGCCACUAGGCGGAAGAGACAUGAGCAUCCAAGACAGUAAUACAGAGCACUUCUGUAAGCCCCAUCCAGGAGUUAGUAUGUGAGGAGCUACAUAGACCCACCUUCAGGUUGAGCAGCACACAAGAGAGGCUGAGAGGACAGCCACAGCUAUGUCUCUAAAGGUGGUCUCUGGCAGCAAAAUAACAUCUUAGAAGAAACAUGGUGCACCUGGAAAUCCUAACUCCCCAGAACAAGAUUUCAUAAGCAUCUUUACAGAUUGGCACACACCUCCAGCUUGUGCUCAUCGGCAGCAAUGCUGCAUCCUAGAUCCCGCACCUCCUGUUCUCCAGUCUGAUCCAGGGAUGGCCCAAGAUGUCAACAAAGGUCCUCCUCCCUGACUAGGAGGCCCUGAGAAAGCUCCUGCAAGACGGAUGUAGACAGAGGGGAAUAAAUGAUCCAGAAGCCAAAAUGGAACCUGACUCUUACCUUCCCUGUCCCAUAUGCAGAGAACCCUGGGACCCCCCCACACACUCCUCCCAAGAUCUGAACUCUGAUAGUAACACCAUCAGGCAGGCACUGAGUUUGAUCAGUAGCACUCUUACUCUAAACUCUCAAAAGGAAGUAGAGAGAUUUGUUUUGAGUGUCCUUAAGCCCUCUGAGCCUCAGUUUCCUUGCCUGCAAACUCUCUAUAGUUCAGGCUUGGUGUUAGGAGCGAUGAGAUAAUGUCCAUAGAAUACCUAGAACAAUGCCCGAAAUACAAAGGCAUUUAACAAAUAUUCCAUUUCCUUCCUGCCCCUCUGAGUUCCCAGAUCACCAUUUUGUCCACCUCACUGAAUUGCCUCUUUCAGGAGUAUCAGUUUGAAGUUGAAACUGGCUCCUUUCCCAGGUGGAGCAGUCUUAACUUGAAUAACAUUUGUACGUGACGUUGACUUACCACAUCAGGAAGCAAUGGAGCACGGUUGAUAAGAACAUGGAUGCUGCAACCAAACUACCUGGAAUGUCCAACUACUAGCUUUGUAACCCGAGGCAAGUGACUUGAUUACUAUGGGCCUCAGUUUUCUCUUCUGUAAAGUAGGCAUAAUCAUUGUACCUGCCCCACACAAUUAAAUUUGUUCAUGUGUGUUAACAUGCUCAGAA